AAGUCGUAACAAGGUCCGUAGGUACUUUCAGACAAUAACUACUUGGGGAUGCCAGGCCACUUACCUCGCGCAACAUGCACACUCUUCGUACGAGCACACUGACACAGGGAUCCUUCCGCAGGUUCACAACUGCGUAAGGAUGGCGCAGUCACGAUCGUUAGAGGCCGACACGGCCGACGACCGGGUCACCGGGCUCACGCCCCCUUAUCACAAAACCCAUGCAUGAAGACGCGCCUGCGCUAAAACCGCGGCGACCAAAAACCGAACAACUGUUAACAAUGGAUAUCUUGGUUCUC
rnacentral:misc_RNA from 1 species